GUGAAAAGUCGGUUGCUGACUUCCAAACUUUAUAUUACAGAGUAGUUCAUAAAACACUACUCAAAUGAAAUAAAGAUACCUGACACCUGGGUUUUACUUGAUUUGUAGAGCUGUAAAUGAGUGUACCGGAAGUGAUAAAUUGAGGAACCAGGAGCAUAGGAUAUUAAAAUGCUACAUGUGACUGAUAGCUGAGGAAGCCUGAUGAUGGCUGGAGAGAAGGUCUGUGAUGUUAUUCUAGGCCAUUCACCCCUUCCUGGAUUGCAAUCUCUUUAACUUUACAAAUUACUUGAAGACUUAAGAUUGCAAGUGAAUACGUAUGCAACCCUAUCAUCAACUGUGAUCAGCAGUAAAACUUGGAAGUCAAACGAAGUGAACUCAACCUGGUCUCUAAAUUCCAGAGUGAUUGCUUAUAUCAUUUGA
rnacentral:lncRNA from 1 species